rnacentral:lncRNA from 1 species
UUGUUUAGGGUUUUGUUUUUUUUUGAAAACUUUGUGGGUUAGGGUUAGUUUUUAGGUUAUUGGGCUUGUUUUGGGUUUGGGUUAUUUAUUAGUUUUGGGUUUUAAUUAUUUGGGCUGAUUUGUAAUUGUUAUUUGGACUUUUUUUUUGUUUUUAUUUGGUUUAUUUUGGAUAGGCCCAGGCCAAAUUUGGCCUAUUACAGUCACGUUUACUUUUCAUCAACCAUGUAAUGCCAAUGAGAGGAUAUCAUUUACCCAUGUCUUAGGUUAUGAAUUCCACUGUUGUGAAUGAUGCUACAUACUGCAGAAGUCGUACACCCAAUGCACUA